rnacentral:rRNA from 1 species
GACGAACGCUGGCGGCGUGCUUAACACAUGCCAGUCGAACGGAAAGGCCUGCUUUCCCUUGUGGAUUGCGGGUACUCGAGUGGCGAACGGGUGAGUAACACGUGAGUGAUCUGCCCCCAACUUGGGUAUAAGCCUGGGAAACUGGGUCUAAUUCCCGAUAGGACUGCAGGGUGGUGCCUGUGGUGGAAAACGAUUUUCUAGUGGUUGGGGAUGAGCUCGCGGCCUAUCAGCUUGUUGGUGGGGUAAUGGCCUACCAAGGCGGCGACGGAUAGCCGGCCUGAGAGGGUGGACGGCCACAUUGGGACUGAGAUACGGCCCAGACUCCUACGGGAGGCAGCAGUGGGGAAUAUUGCACAAUGGGCGGAAGCCUGAUGCAGCGACGCCGCGUGGGGGAUGACGGCCUUCGGGUUGUAAACUCCUUUCGACCGCGAGGAAGCCACCUGGUUGGAAGGGUGGUGACGGUAGUGGUAGAAGAAGCACCGGCUAACUACGUG